UACGGGGGGAGCAAGCGUUGUUCGGAUUUACUGGGCGUAAAGGGCGCGUAGGCGGCCUCUGCAAGUCGACUGUGAAAUCUCCGGGCUUAACCCGGAAAGGUCAGCCGAUACUGCAGGGCUAGAGUGCAGAAGGGGCAACUGGAAUUCUCGGUGUAGCGGUGAAAUGCGUAGAUAUCGAGAGGAACACCUGCGGCGAAGGCGGGUUGCUGGGCUGACACUGACGCUCAUGCACGAAAGCGUGGGGAGCAAACAGG
rnacentral:rRNA from 1 species